rnacentral:misc_RNA from 1 species
UCCCCCUACCUUCCACUCAGCCUACACCAACACAGGAGCAAAAAAAGGGAGGAAACCCAUGAACAAGGAUAUCACUUCAUCAGCUUGCCAUUGUAUCAACUGAUCUGGAGAGAUUGAGGCACACGGAACAUGAACCCCACGCGCAGGGUAUUUUAGCGAGUGGCAACUAUAAGCGACCUAAAAAAGCAAAUUUUCCGCAGAUGUUCAGCUCUCGGUUAGCAGUGGGCAGUGGCAUGGAAUGCCGCGCGCAUUGGAUCUGAAUCCACUUUACAUAACACAAUCACGCUUACGCCAAAUCAGUGGCGAAACCAAGAAUGUGCGCGGCAUUGAGGAGAUGAAGGCGCAUUUGCCUCGUUCAGCAAUGCCAGACGAGUCGACAAACUCCCCGACCCGGCGCCGGCGCGGCGGAAGAGGGCUCAGCCGCCGCAACGGGGCUUGCGAACCGGGAGUGAAGCUAGGGUUUGGAGGGAGACUGCUACAGUGGAAGGAAGAGGAGGGCGACGGGGCUGAGGGUGGGGGCGGGGAUGCGGAGGGCGGCGGCGGCGGAUCGGGGCCGGCGGUGGCGAUGCGGGUGGGGGCCGACAGCGACGGGUGGAGGAGUAAGAGAUGGGCGGGUGCCACGCGACCGACGAGGCACGGGACGGCACUGACUGACCUGGCGGCGGCGCGGCGGGCGAC